UUUCCCCUCUUUUUUCCAGCGACCGGCCCAGGAUUCGAACAGGCGGCCUUUCGGCUACAGGUCUAACUUCUUAACUGCUGGGCUACCUACCACCCAUACUCACAGAAAGUUUACCAACAAGUUUGGUCCUCAGUUUGCAGCUCCCAGAUGGUUCAGUCAUCUACAGGUCUCAGUCAGAUGUAUUUGAUGAUAAGAGCAUUCGUGAUGAAGCCAUUGGAUUUGUGUUAUGAAAGAGAUGCAAAGAGGGCGAAGGUAAAUGAAUGGGACAUGAUGAUGAAUGGUUGUAUUUCAACUUCAGCAGGAUAAUGACUGUUUUGUCACUUUCUCUCCUCUCUAAGUGGUUACACAUGCAGGACAUGUAAAACUCCAGUUCCUCUCUCCCUUUUGCCUGCUCCUAAAUGAUUCUAACACAAGACACCAUAAAACACAGGAAGAACACACACACACACACAAACACACAACCCACUGAUGGGAAAGAUGGAGACCUGUUUUUGAAUCAUCAUCUAUUCAUUGAAUUAUUCACAUUUGUCUACAAAGUUCUUUAUUGAUGUCUCAAACAAUUAUGGAAUAUGUCCAACGUAUGAAAAUAGUAUUGUGCGUCAGGCCUGCGUCUCAAAUUAAACCCUAUAUUCCCUACAUAGUGCACUAUUUUUGACCAGAGCUCAAUCCCCCCCUGGCCAAAAGUAGGGCACUUUAUAGUGAAUAGGGUGCCAUAUUGGACACAACCAUGUUUAUAAGAAGGUGUAGAUGUGUAAUGCUUGUCAGCAUGUUGUUUUAUACCAACCCCCAUCCUCAAAGGAUUUCAAUCAUUUUAAUUCAACCAAUUUUCAUCUAAAAGU
rnacentral:lncRNA from 1 species